ensembl:lncRNA
AUUUUACUCAGCGCACACACAAGGGGAAAAUAUUAGCAGCACGGCUGUUACUGGAGUUAAAGAUUAACUUGGCUAGAGAAAAUGAAAGGCAGCAAGUAUCACUGGUUAAUUGAUUUUAUUGUAACUUUAUCCAAACGCCCUACCAUAGUAAGCACCGUGUAAGCAAAUAGGAUGACUGACCACCUUUCCUGAAGAACCAGCAACACAGAAAUCAUAAACAAAGCACUAAGAGCACCCAGGUGAUCUUAAGGUGUCAGACCAUGGCUGAUGAAUUACAAGAGCACAAAAAAACAGCAUCAACAAAAAUCUGCAUCAGUGCAAUAGAUUCUGGGUCUCAGAAGCCCUUCCUUCUGAAUAUAGACAAACAGGUUCUCUGGGCCCCAUCCCCUCAGGAAAAAAUACGAUCUUAUCUUGGAAAUACACCAGGCUCCACAGCAAAAGAGCUGCACAAGAGCAGAGAACCCCAGGAAACCCUCAUCACAUGGAGCUGCAAAUUUCACCAGUGUUUCUCAUCUGCUUCUUCAGGGUCAGUCAGCUUCAGAAUUUAACACUGUGAGUUAGCCCCAGAGAUUCAAGACUGACUGCAGAGAACCUUCUUGUGCUCUCCUCACAUUCCAGUUGAACCACAUUCCUGCUGAAAAGAAAAGAAAGCCACUGAAUAAAAGCACAACAAGAAGCAAGAUCAACCAGCUAGAUGAGAAGUCACUAGCUGUUGUUUAGAAAUUAAAACAAGCUUGAACAGAACACCGAAGUCCUAAACGUCUGCCUUUGCCAACUUCAAAGUGUUCGUUCACAGAAAGCAAGCCCAAAGAGUGAGAAGAUACAGUAAAGGGUAAGCCUGCAUUAAAGAAAGGAUUAGAAAAUAUUAAAUGCUUUCAGUAAUGUUGCGGUGGUCUGAAGUCCUCUGUAAGUUCUUCACAUAUUAGAGGGAUUUAUGAGUUUCCUGGUGAACUUAGAGCCUUAUUUUAAAGCUUUGUAAACAUUUAGCUAAUUAUCAGCAUCUGCUUGCAGGGUAGAUUAAUUCUGCAAUGCAAACACUGUCCCCAAAGGGUUGUACGAACAAGGACUGCAACUGCAAAUUUUCUGACUCUUGCUUUGUUGGUUUCAACAGUGGCAGCACAGUUGUUUUUUUUUUUAGACAUAACUACAUAUGAUGAUAUAGCUAACAGCACCUGGGACCUGCCUUGUAUUCCUAUUGGUGGUACUAUUAGGAAAUUGAGGAGUACUUCUAACAGUCAGAAACUACAAACCUGUCAAUCCACAAUUGUAGACUUUUUGUUUCUCACAAAAUACACAGCUGGCACUGCCACAAGCCCUCAACUCAAACAUGUUUAAGUCUCAGAGGCUGCAACUUUAACACCCCAAAUUCUUCACAGGGCAGACUGACCACCCAUUAAUGACUACUGACUCCAAAAUUGUACAAAGUAGUCAAAAUCACCACAUCCAGAAAUCAGUUUGCCCUCUGAAGUUAACGUAAAAUAAAAUAAAGUAAUACUAAAAAGUAAAUAAUAAUAAAAAUAGAGCAUAAUGAGGAGUUGGUAGCCUUAGUGACUUGUCCUAAACAAAACCUCAUUACACAUAUGCUGGUGUUUUUGUGUAUGUGGGUAUGAUAGUUUGAGUGAAUGAAAGCUAAGGGAAAAGGAGUGUGAGCAGGUGAGAACAACUUACUUGAGAUUUUGGAAAAAUAAAUAAAUUUUAAAAAAUUGUC